rnacentral:rRNA from 1 species
CGCCCGGUCCCAUUCCGAACCCGGAAG